GAUGAACGCUGGCGGCGUGCCUAAUACAUGCAAGUCGAGCGAACGGACGAGAGGCUUGCUUCUCUGAUGUUAGCGGCGGACGGGUGAGUAACACGUGGAUAACCUACCUAUAAGACUGGGAUAACUUCGGGAAACCGGAGCUAAUACCGGAUGAUAUUUUGAACCGCAUGGUUCAAAAGUGAAAGACGGUCUUGCUGUCACUUAUAGAUGGAUCCGCGCUGCAUUAGCUAGUUGGUAAGGUAACGGCUUACCAAGGCAACGAUGCAUAGCCGACCUGAGAGGGUGAUCGGCCACACUGGAACGGAGACACGGCCCAGACUCCUACGGGAGGCAGCAGUAGGGAAUUUUCCGCAAUGGGCGAAAGCCUGACGGAGCAACGCCGCGUGAGUGAGGAAGGUCUUCGGAUCGUAAAACUCUGUUAUUAGGGAAGAACAUAUGUGUAAGUAACUGUGCACAUCUUGACGGUACCUAAUCAGAAAGCCACGGCUAACUACGUG
rnacentral:rRNA from 1 species